rnacentral:rRNA from 1 species
CACGGAGGCCCCGAGCGUCGUUCGGAAUUACUGGGCGUAAAGUGUGCGCAGGCGGCGUCGCAAGUCGAGUGUGAAAGCCCCGGGCUUAACUUGGGAAUUGCGCUCGAAACUACGAUGCUGGAGUGUGGCAGAGGAAGGUGGAAUUCCACGUGUAGCGGUGAAAUGCGUAGAGAUGUGGAGGAACACCAAUGGCGAAGGCAGCCUUCUGGGCCAACACUGACGCUCAUGCACGAAAGCGUGGGGAGCAAACAGG